rnacentral:rRNA from 1 species
GGGUCAGUAGGUUGGUCGUGCCACCGGUACGUACUGGUCUCACUGAUUCCUCCUUCCUGAAGAACCGUAAUGCCAUUAAUUUGGUGUUGCGGGGAAACAGGACUGUUACUUUGAAAAAAUUAGAGUGUUUAAAGCAAGUUAACGCUUGAAUACAUUAGCAUGGAAUAAUGUAAUAGGACGAUCGAUCCUAUUUUGUUGGUUUCUAGGAUUGACGUA